CCUACGGGUGGCAGCAGUGAGGAAUAUUGGUCAAUGGACGAGAGUCUGAACCAGCCAAGUAGCGUGAAGGAUGACUGCCCUAUGGGUUGUAAACUUCUUUUAUAAAGGAAUAAAACGAGGCACGUGUGCCUUUUUGCAUGUACUUUAUGAAUAAGGAUCGGCUAACUCCGUGACAGCAGCCGCGGUAAUACGGAGGAUCCGAGCGUUAUCCGGAUUUAUUGGGUUUAAAGGGAGCGUAGAUGGGUUGUUAAGUCAGCGGUAAAAAUUCGGGGCUCAACCCCGUCCGGCCGUUGAAACUGGGGGCAUUGAGUGGGCGAGAAGAAGGCGGAAUGCGUGGUGUAGCGGUGAAAUGCAUAGAUAUCACGCAGAACCCCGAUUGCGAAGGCAGCCUUCCGGCGCCCUACUGACGCUGAGGCACGAAAGUGCGGGGAUCGAACAGGAUUAGAUACCCCUGUAGUC
rnacentral:rRNA from 1 species